CCUACGGGGGGCAGCAGUGAGGAAUAUUGGUCAAUGGCCGGAAGUCUGAACCAGCCAUGCCGCGUGCAGGAAGACGGCUCUAUGAGUUGUAAACUGCUUUUGUCCGAGGGUAAACCUGAAUACGUGUAUUCAGCUGAAAGUACUGUACGAAUAAGGAUCGGCUAACUCCGUGCCAGCAGCCUCGGUAAUACGGGGGAUCCAAGCGUUAUCCGGAUUUAUUGGGUUUAAAGGGUGCGUAGGCGGAUGGAUAAGUUAGAGGUGAAAUGUCCGAGCUUAACUCGGGAACUGCAUUUAAUACUGUUGAUCUAGAGAGUAGAUGAGGUAGGCGGAAUGUAUGGUGUAGCGGUGAAAUGCUUAGAGAUCAUACAGAACACCGAUUGCGAAGGCAGCUUACCAAUCUAUAACUGACGUUGAGGCACGAAAGCGUGGGUAGCAAACAGGAUUAGAUACCCUGGUAGUC
rnacentral:rRNA from 1 species